GAUGAACGCUGGCGGCGUGCCUAAUACAUGCAAGUCGAGCGAACAGACGAGGAGCUUGCUCCUCUGACGUUAGCGGCGGACGGGUGAGUAACACGUGGAUAACCUACCUAUAAGACUGGGAUAACUUCGGGAAACCGGAGCUAAUACCGGAUAAUAUAUUGAACCGCAUGGUUCAAUAGUGAAAGACGGUUUUGCUGUCACUUAUAGAUAGAUCCGCGCCGCAUUAGCUAGUUGUUAAGGUAACGGCUUACCAAGGCAACGAACCGUAGCCGAACUGAGAGGGUGAUCGGCCACACUAGAAGGGAAACACGGUCAAGACUACUACGGGACGCAGCAGUAGGGAAUCUUCCGCAAUGGGCGAAAGCUUGACGGAGCAACGGCGCGUGAGUGAUGAAGGUCUUCGGAUCGUAAAACUCUGUUAUUGGGGAAGAACAAAUGUGUAAGUAACUAUGCACGUCUUGACGGUACCUGAUCAGAAAGCCACGGCUAACUACGUG
rnacentral:rRNA from 1 species